rnacentral:rRNA from 1 species
UACAGAGGUCUCAAGCGUUGUUCGGAUUCAUUGGGCGUAAAGGGUGUGUAGGUGGCGCGCUAAGUCGGGUGUGAAAUUUCGGAGCUUAACUCCGAAACUGCAUUCGAUACUGGCGUGCUUGAGGACUGGAGAGGAGACUGGAAUUUACGGUGUAGCGGUGAAAUGCGUAGAUAUCGUAAGGAAGACCAGUGGCGAAGGCGGGUCUCUGGACAGUUCCUGACGCUGAGGAGCGAAAGCGUGGGGGAGCGAACAGG